rnacentral:lncRNA from 1 species
CGAGAUUUUCAGGUGAUAUUUUUUGGUAACAUCAUUGGCACCGUCUGUGGGAAUUUCGCUACCAAAAGCCAUGGUCAAUACAAGUUUAGGUCUUUCUCCAGCAAGCUCAUCCGUCCCGGAUAACCCUCCACCUCCUGAGGAACACCAUAUUCCUCAAGAAGAGUCGUCGGGGAUGCCAGCACCUCCUCAAGCUGUUGUUUCCACCGGAGCUUUUGAGGAACUUCGCCAGCAGGUGGUUGCAUUGAUCCAACUGCUAAGUCAGAGAAAUUCGCAUCCAUCUCACACCCCAACACCUGAAGGUGGCUUUAUGGCAGAUGCCAGGACUCGAGUUCAUCAUGCAACCCAUGAUGACGGUGGGGUUGGAACCUCAGGGUACCACAAGUUGCAUCAGGUUCAAGGUCCGUUACAAUAGUCUCCGCCGAACUUGCAAGAAUUAUUCAAGAAGGGAUAGCAGCGGGUCUGCAACAAAAUACUCGGGUAGCAACAGGGUUUACCCCCAAUACACCAUUCACUCCAGAAGUCCUUUCAUACCCCCUUCCCAAUAGGUUCAAAUAUCCUCGAAUAAAGGAGUACGACGGGACAACCGACCCCAUCAACCAUCUCAAUGUAUACACGGAUAUCAUGAACUUACAGGUUGCACCAGAUGCGGUAAUGUGCAAGGCAUUCCCUCAAACCCUCACGAAUGCGGCUAGAGAUUGGUUUUCCACAUUGGAACCGAACUCCGUCACCUCCUUCUCAGAUUUGGCUGACAAGUUCUCCGCUUUUUUUGCGAGCAGCAAAAGAAUCAGAAAGACAGCUGCAUCGCUCAUGCAGAUGCGUCAAGGACCCAACGAAACACUGCGCAGUUUCAUGACCAGGUUCAACAAAGAAAGGCUUCAGAUCCCCGAUCUACAUAUCACAGCUGCAGUCUCAGCUCUGACUUACGCCAUUAAGUGCGAAGUGUUCAAAAUGUCCUUGUCUAAAACCCCGCCAAAGUCAGUAACCGAGCUACUCACACCGGCUGAGAAAUACAUCAAUAUGGAAGAAACCAUGGCCCCAAAAAGGGAAGAUACCUCAUCAGGGAGGUUGGAUCAGAAAAGGCCACAUGAGUCCAGCGUAAGACAAGGGACACCUAGGGUCAAACCAAGAAAGGAUCCACCUUCAACGGCUUUUACCCAUCUGAACACUUCGAGGUCCAACAUCCUCAUGGAGAUCAAAGACUCUAGGGAACUGAAAUGGCCUCCCCGAUUGCGGUCUCCCCCCGAUACACGUGACAAGAGCAAAUACUGUGAUUUCCAUAGGGAUCACGGCCAUACCACAGAAGAUUGUCUGGCCUUAAAAGCGGGAAAUCGAAGCUCUUAUAAGAAGAGGAUUUCUGAGCUCUUACAUUAACAAUGACAAACGCCCGAAGAAUAAUCAGAAUGGGGGAAAAGGCCCAGAGGAUUGGGGAAACAAGCAACCAACUGCAGGCACUAUCAAUAUCAUUGUCGGAGGAACAGCCUCGGGAGGAGACUCUAGCAGUGGGCGAAAACAGUAUGCCAGAUAGCCAUCGAUCAUCUCAAGACCAGAUCUUGGUCGUACAGAGGACAUCAGUUUUGGAAUGGAUGACUUGGAAGGCGUAGCAUUCCCCCAUGAUGAUGCCCUUGUCAUAUCGGCCAUCAUCGCCAACUUUGAAGUCAAGAGAAUUCUGGUAGAUAACGAAAGUGCAGCAAACGUACUCUCUCACGAAGCUUUUGUUCAAAUGGGGAUCUCGUCAGAACAACUAAAGCCAGUGAAAACACCCCUGCAAGGGUUUGGAGGUGGGGUCAUCACCCUGGAAGGUAUCGUCGGGUUACCCUUAACAUUAGGAACCGAAGGUAAGCAGGUAACGCAGAUCACUACCUUCGAAGUCGUCCGUACGCCGAUGGUUUACAACGCCAUAUUGGGAAGACCAAUGCACAACAGAAUUCGAGCUAUUGUUUCAACUUUUCAUCUGGCUAUGAAAUUCCCUAAUUUUACAAAGUGGGUAGAAGCCGAACCUCUAGCAACAAUUUCAAAACCGAAGCUCGGAUCAUUUAUAUGGAAAUCCAUCAUAUGCAGAUUUGGGAUACCAAGAGUCCUCAUCACAGAUAAUGGAAGACAAUUCGACAAUCCCCAGUUCAAGAACUUCUGCGCCAGCAAUGGGAUUGAUCAUCGCCUGACCUCGGUCUCACACCCACAAAGUAAUGGGUUAGCCGAAGUAACUAAUCGAAUCAUAUUGCAGGACCUCCGAACAAGGAUAGGGGACGCCAAAGGUGACUGGCUUGACAUGCUGCCCUCGAUACUGUGGGCAUAUAGGACUUUACACAAGACAGCAACUGGUGAAACGCCAUUCAUGCUUGCUUUUGGACUUGAGGCUACCAUUCCAAUUGAGGUUACCCUCCCCACAAUAAGAAAGCUCGAGACGAAUAAGGAGACACAAACUACCGAACAUCUCGACUUGCUUGAAGAGGUAAGGGAGCAAGCUUUCCUUAGGACUGCAAGUUACCAAAACAGAACGGCAAAGCACUUCAAUAAGAAGGUCAAGAACAGGAGAUUUAGAGCCGGCGAUCUUGUCCUAAGGAGAGCAGAAGUCGCUGGGCACCAACCAGGAAAGCUUGGGCCAACAUGGGAAGGUUCCUACGAGGUUAUAAGAAAACUUAAAGGGGGAGCUUAUAGCCUCAGAGAUACAUCAGGGAAUCCACCCCCAAGGCCAUGGAACGCCAACAAUCUGAAAAUAUAUUACAAGUGAUUAGCUAUAUGUCACAGGCCUAGUUUCGUUACACCCGCACAAACUAGAACCGUGCAGCCUUAACGUUCUACAAUUCCCGCACCUCACGAGAAAACGUUAAUUCAGCCUUUCCACGCCCACAAAUAAUUUAACCAAUAAGGCUAAAUUAUACCCACGUUAAAAAGAGAAUUUGGAAGUAAGUAAUAUAUGGAAAACAAGUAAGGAUGGGGGAAACUUUCUUUGUAUAAAUGAAAUGAAAAACUUUACAAUCUCUCUUGAAAGAAUAAACUCACUCACUCUACAUUCUCUACCAUCUACUCCCUCCCAUUUACAAAUGCCACUACAUCUCUAUUUAUAGGAAAACUAAACCUCCUUAACAUUCC